rnacentral:lncRNA from 1 species
CUGGCCUUCAAAGCCAAAUGCUCUGGGGACUUGUCUUCCAGUGCUAAAUCUCCAGUCUGGGGGGCCUGACAUAGGGCUCAGAACUCUCGCUCCUGUGGGAGAACCUCUUCACUGUAAUUAUUCUCCAGUUUGUGGCUCACCCACCUGGGGUUAUGGGAUUUGAUUAGAUUGUGAGUCUACCCCUCCUAUCGAUCUUGUUGUGGUUCCUUCUCUAGUUGUAGAAGAUCUUUUUUGGUAGGUUCUAGGCUUUUUAAUCAAUGGUUGUUCUGCAGAUAGUGUAAUUUUGGGCUACUUGUGAGGGGAAGUGAGCUCGUGAUCCUUCUACUCCCCCAUCUCCAUUGCUCUAGGUGCAUUCUCUCUCUUAAAAGACAACCAAAAAGCUAUUCCUAGCAGAGAGGGUUUGGGAGAGCCAUUUGAGCGGAAGAAACCCUCCAGCUGGGUGUAACAACCCUUGUAUCAGUGGGAGGCAAUUGUUAUCACACAGGCCACAUAUUCUUCAUCACAGGAUAUGAUAAGCUCUCACAACUCUUCAAUUCUACCCUUAUGAGUAAAUAGCUCAAACAAACAGCACUGCUCUGACAUCCAGGAGGCCUACGUUGUACUCCCAGCGUGACUAAUACCAAUUAAAUGAAUGGUGAGACCAGCCAAUGUCUUUCUUUUCUCUUGGCCUUAGUUUACUCUUUUACUUUUUUUUUUUUUUAAGUGAAAGGGUUGCUUUUGUCACCAGAUAUUUCCCUAUACUGUCCAGCCAAGAGUCCUUUGGAAUUUAUGCCCACCAGGCCCUGAGCCAAGCCUGAGCAGGAUCAGCAGGACUCAGCACCCACUGCCUGUUGGGAUGGGAGUGGGGCUGUCUCUGUGUCUGACUCGGCUUCCUGGGGUCUGGGGUGAGCUGUCUGAGCCCCAGCCCGCUCCCAUUCUUACCGUGUUGGCUCCAACUGUUAGUUGGAUGCCAACCUUGUUUUUCUCUGCCUUUACCACAAGAACAGUUUGUCCCACAGCUCUGAACCCGUAGCAUGAUUUUAAUAACUGCCUGGACCUGGAGUUGAGGCAGCCUUGGCCGCCUCCCCAUGAUACAUUAAGGUGAAUCACUCUGAACAUCCACAUUUGCAAAUGCACAGAGAGAAGGAAUCUUCUGGGUUUGGGCCCACCCAGGCUGAUUUCUUUGUUUUAAGCCCUGCUCUCUCCUUUAUCUCAUUAUUGGAUCAGACUUUCCCCCACCCCCACCCAUUGCAAUCAUUACCCUCGUGCUGCUGGGUUAUUUACAAGUAAUACCUGUGUCCUGACUCCUUGCUCCUCUGAAGAAUGAAGUUUUGAUGACUAAACAACAAUUGUAACUUGUUUCCUCCACUACUGUGGGACCUGAGGUUAUUUGAGUGUAGAGAUGCACAAAGACUUUAUAAAUGCCCAGGAUGUGUUGCCAUGAUUGACUGCGUUUGUUUUGUUACCUCAUAGCAGGUGCUGGUUUGGGAUGGGGUGCAGGAGCCUGGGCUGCCUUGCCUCAGACACCUGUAUGAGACGAAGUUCAGCUGGGGAAAGGUGUGGUUACUGGUCCUCCUGUGAUUUCACUGCCAGGAAACGGGCCCCAGGCCCCGGCCAAAGCACAGGGCAGGAGAGUGAUGGAUUUUUCAGUCACUGCUGAAACCGCCAGCAAAGACAUAGAGGGAGGUGAGGAAAAUGGACAGCGUGUGAGUGCCUAACUCUGAACUGGGUUGCAGUCUCACAACAUCCUAGUAAAGCCUCGUGCAUCCUGAUUUUAGUGGGGAAAAGGAAACUGAGGCCGGAGGAGUGGAGACACAGCUGGGAAGUAUCAGAGCUCGCCUGCCUCUGGUCCCCUCCCAGGGUUGUGCCUGAAAUUCAGAGGACAGAUGAUGAAGCAUUGGCUGAAAUGAGAACACGCAGGCCGCCCGGCCAGCCUGGAACUGCACUGCUGACUCUGAAGACCAUCGAUCUGCUUCUUGGAUUCUGGUUAUUAGUGCGUAAACAGGAGUAAUUAGACAUCCUGAAAAUUGGGCCUGGCAGGAGAGUAGGGAGAUGAAAGGUCAAGGGAGCUGCCUGGGGUGUCCUGCCACGUUGCUUGGUUGCGGGUGGCCCACCACAAAAAUGCAGGGCUGGCUGCUUUAGCAAACCCAGAGAGGCCUGCUCUUUCCUCUUCACAUCAGCAGGAGGUGACAGUGAGCAGUACAUGUCUAGUCUUGCUGCCCCAGAAGAGCCCACUUCUGUUUUGAUUUUGUGAUUUGAGCAAAUGCAUUCACUUCUCCGAGCCUUAGUUUCCUUAUCUGACUGGGGAUGGUAAUACCCACCCCCCCAAAAAAGUCCUCCCUUGUUUUUUGAGACAAUAGUGAGAUUGUGGAUAUAAAUCACUUUGUCAAUCAAGUAUGGGCCCUGUUGAGUUUUAAUGUCUUCUCAACUCUAUUGUCUUUUACGUACAUUUCCUUUAAAGUCUUUCUAGAAGUUGCUGAGCUACAAUGAAAAGGCAAAUACAAAUAAAAGACAUGAUUGUUUCAAAAUUUUACCGACAGUCACUUUGAGAAAACAUUUUCUUUUUUUUUUAUCUUGAAAUUACCCCAAUUUUUGGACACAUAAUUCGAUUGUGAGUGAUACUCAUUCCCUUGAGAAAUACCUAGUGAGUAUCUUCUACAUGCCCUGANAUGUGGAGGUUCCCAGGCUCGGGGUCCAAUUGGAGCUGUAGCUGCCAGCCUACACCACAGCCACAGCAACACAGGAGCCGAGCCUCAUCUGUGACCUACACCAUAGCUCAUUGCAAUGCUGGAUCCUUAACCCACUGAGCAAGGCCAGGGAUUGAACCCGCAUCCUCACGGAUACUAGCUGGGUUUGUUAACCACGAAGCCAUGAUAGGAACUCCGAUUUUUAAGUUUAAAUACAUGCAUGAGGGCACCAAUAAAGUAAUUUUAAUUACAAUAAAUGCUAAAGAGAAGUACUGACUCUCUGAAGAGCAUAGGAUAGAGGGACCUAACCCUGAUUUAGGGGGUUAGAAAAAGUGAUGCUUGAAAUGAAAUCUCAAAGACAUGUUGGGGUUAGGUAAGUGAAGUGGAAAAGGAACAACAAUUCCAGGCUUCAGGAAUAGCAGGUGCAAAGGCCCGGAGCAGCAAAAAUAACAAAGAAGGUCAGUGUACUCGGAUUGCAAGGAGCACCCCUGGCUUAACAUAGAAGUGGAAUAUCCGUGACUUUUCUAUGCAUGAGGAAAAAACAGUCACUGAAAUAUUGGAUGGAUUGGAAGGAUAGACUUUUAUCUUUUGGUACUCGCUGUAGGUCAAAAUCAACAUGGUCAGCUUUAGGGUUUUAAAAAUGUAUUUAAUGUAAUUUCCUGGACUCAUAUGAUAAUAAUAUUUGGCAUAAAGAUAGUGACAUAGUGGAAAAACUUUAUUUUCAGGAACAAUUGUUUAAGGACUAUCCCUUCCAAACUGAGUUUUCCUCUUUAGUUUUCCGUUCUGCCCCUCUUGACCUUGAUAUUGUUAAUGGCGCGAUAUUGCUUCCGGAUCUGGUCCCAGUGUAUUUUUCUAGACUUGUUUCUCGUGCUGUCUCUCUCUGACUGUUCUCUGUUCUCCAGGGUCAGGCCCUCCUUGUUCCACGCCAAGCCCUGCACCUCUCUGCUCCCACACCUUGACUCUGACCGCUCUCCAAGCUCACUUGUCUUUCUCCUCCCUCCUGAAUAAAAUCCCAAGCCAUCCUCCAGGCCCCGCUGAAAGGCUGCCCCCUCCUAGAAGCCAAGGCAGGACAAGGCCCCGCCACGAUGUUCCCGAGCACACUCCCCGUGGCCAUCGAUACCAGGAGCAUGCACCCUGCCUCCCACCAGGUGUUUUCUCUCUAUGCCUGGCUCCCCUUAGGACCGUGGGCUCUUUCAGGCUGCAGACAGCAUGACCUUAAUUGCUGCAUCCCCCUUCCAGACUGUCAGUGCAGAGCUUGCUGGGACCCAAGUCACAGCAGGUAGUGCUUCAUCCCAACUGAAUUCACUAGAUGACGGAAGACAGUUUCCUCUCAAGGUCUAGGGUGGAUAAGAAAUUUCUGCCAAGGAGUGCCUUUCAUUUGAAAGUUAGAUUGCUGGAUUUUGUUUCUUUUAAUCUCACAAACAUAAUGUUUAGUGAAACCAUGCACAACUAUGUACUAAAAAUGUGAUGAUGGAGUAUGUGAUUCUAUUGUUAUAAAAUGCAAAAGAGGUCAGAAUGGCUGGAGCUUUUGAAGGACUCAGAAAACUAGAGGUUGCUAGAUUUUAUUUGUAGUAGGAAGUGUUUGACACACCUAGAUGUCUAUAAUAGGGGUUUGUUUACAUAAAAUAAUUGACAUGUAUAUAAUAGAGUACUAUGCAACCAUUAAACAUGACGUAGAAACAUAGUUCUUAAUAAGAUAUCCACAAUAUAUUGAUAAAUUUAAAAAGGUAUGGUCAUAUGUUCUGUUGUAUCUCUUUUUGUGUGUGACAUGGGUUCAGGGAGUCUGGUAGCAGGUGAGUGAAUGUGGGUGACUCCAUCCCUUCCCCCCUUCAGGUAAUAGCUGGGGGUGGGGCUGGGAGAGGGAGAAAUGGGGGCUACAGAAGAGGCUCUGAAGUGGCUGGGAGAUGCCCCAUUGAGGUGUAAGGGGCCUUAGGGUCAUUCUCAGAACAUUGGGAGCAGAGAAAUGGUUUCUUGUACAGGGUAGGACCUGAUGCAGCCACUGUGGGGUUACUUCACCCCAUGGAUGGAAAGGACUGUGUAUUUAAGCCCUGGGCAACCCCUUUGGAAGAGCAGAGAUGGGAAGGGCAUUUCUCCUGUGAGGAGGCAGAAUGUCGAUGUGGCCCAGGGAAGGGACAGUGGCUGAGAGUCAGGAGUGACAAAGCAGAAUUGCCCCAGGGAAGCUAGGGUGGUCCAAGGCAGAAGAAGAUAAAGAUGAUGCAUGGCCACCUGAGCUUGAAAAGCUAGGUGGAUGAGCAACACGGGGCAGUAGCCUUCAAGGAGCACCAGCAAGGUGCUGUGAGGGUGAGCAGUGAUAGACACAGGCAGAGGUGGGCACUGGCUUGGGAGCAUGUGUGGGACACCUCAAGAUGUCCAGGGAUACUUGACAUACUACAGGGAGGAACCUCAGAAAGGGAUCUGGGGGCCUGAGGACAGGCAGGUACAGCCUAUCAAAUCAGCAAUGACCAUUCAUCUUCCUCAGUUGAGCCCCCCACCUGGUAAGACCUGGGGGGUUUUGGGGUUGCAUUUACUUAAUUUUUAUUUUUUUAUUUUAUUUUUUGUCUUUUGGGGCUGCACCCAUGGCAUAUGGAGGUUCCCAGACUGGGGGACUAGCUGGAGCUACAGCUGCCGGCCUAUGCCAAAGCCACAGCAACACUGGAUCCGAGCUGUGACUGUGACCUACACCACAGCUCACAGCAAUGCCAGAUCCUUAACCCGCUGAGCAAGGCCAGGGAUCGAACCCGAAACCUCAUGGUUCCUAGUCGGAUUCGUUUCCACUGUGCCAUGACGGGAACUCCUGCAUUUACUUAAUAAAUGAUACGUACACAAAGAAAAGCCUAGAAAAGUAGACAUCAAGGUGUGAACAAUGGCUGUCUCUGGGUGGAUGGAUGAGUGUUUUUCUUUCUUUCUUGUUUGGUAUUUGUGUGUUUUCUGGUAUUCCUGAAAGGAACAUGUGUUGCCCUUAU